rnacentral:rRNA from 1 species
AGAGUUUGAUCCUGGCUCAGGAUGAACGCUAGCUACAGGCUUAACACAUGCAAGUCGAGGGGAAACGACAUCGAAAGCUUGCUUUUGAUGGGCGUCGACCGGCGUACGGGUGAGUAACGCGUAUCCAACUCCCCCGCCACCACUUGGGGAUAACCUUGCGAAAGUAAGACUAAUACCCAAUGAUAUCUCUAGAAGACAUCUGAAAGAGAUUAAAGAUUUAUCGGUGAUGGAUGGGGAUGCGUCUGAUUAGCUUGUUGGCGGGGUAACGGCCCACCAAGGCAACGAUCAGUAGGGGUUCUGAGAGGAAGGUCCCCCACAUUGGAACUGAGACACGGUCCAAACUCCUACGGGAGGCAGCA